GACGAACGCUGGCGGCGUGCUUAACACAUGCAAGUCGAACGGAAAGGCCCUGCUUGCAGGGUACUCGAGUGGCGACCGGGUGAGUAACACGUGGGUGAUCUGCCCUGCACUUCGGGAUAAGCCUGGGAAACUGGGUCUAAUACCGGAUAGGAGCCAUUUUUAGUGUGAUGGUUGGAAAGUUUUUUUCGGUGUAGGAUGAGCUCGCGGCCUAUCAGCUUGUUGGUGGGGUAAUGGCCUACCAAGGCGGCGACGGGUAGCCGGCCUGAGAGGGUGGACGGCCACAUUGGGACUGAGAUACGGCCCAGACUCCUACGGGAGGCAGCAGUGGGGAAUAUUGCACAAUGGGCGCAAGCCUGAUGCAGCGACGCCGCGUGGGGGAUGACGGCCUUCGGGUUGUAAACUCCUUUCGCUAGGGACGAAGCUUUUUGUGACGGUACCUAGAUAAGAAGCACCGGCUAACUACGUG
rnacentral:rRNA from 1 species